rnacentral:rRNA from 1 species
GACGAACGCUGGCGGCGUGCCUAAUACAUGCAAGUCGAGCGCAGGAAACUGACGGAACUCUUCGGAGGGAAGGCAGUGGAAUGAGCGGCGGACGGGUGAGUAACACGUAAGGAACCUGCCUCAAGGAUUGGGAUAACUCCGAGAAAUCGGAGCUAAUACCGGAUAGUUCAACGGACCGCAUGGUCCGCUGAUGAAAGGCGCUCCGGCGUCACCUUGAGAUGGCCUUGCGGUGCAUUAGCUAGUUGGUGGGGUAACGGCCCACCAAGGCGACGAGGCGUAGCCGACCUGAGAGGGUGAUCGGCCACACUGGGACUGAGACACGGCCCAGACUCCUACGGGAGGCAGCAGUAGGGAAUCUUCCACAAUGGACGAAAGUCUGAUGGAGCAACGCCGCGUGAGUGAUGAAGGUUUUCGGAUCGUAAAACUCUGUUGUAAGGGAAGAACACGUACGAGAGGGAAUGCUCGUACCUUGACGGUACCUUACGAGAAAGCCACGGCUAACUACGUGCCAGCAGCCGCAGUAAAAC